rnacentral:misc_RNA from 1 species
GAUCAACUUUCAAGUCCAACUUGGUGUUGGAGGAUUCGGAUACGAACCUCCGAAACCCUCACGUGGCUGCGGUCAGUGAGCUUUACGCACGACCAACGCCGACCUCAA